rnacentral:lncRNA from 10 species
GAGGGGCGUGUCGGCCUUAUCCCCUGGACCACUCAGAGGAGUUUGGCGAGGGGCUGGCAGCAGCCAAGUCCCUUCAUGGCGCCCCCGGGGAUGUAAGAGGGCCUUCUGAUUUUCUACCAAAGUACUGCUUGUGCCCAGAGCCCUUCUGCCCCUUCGUGUGUAAGGAGGGGCAGGAGGGAGGCUUCCAAGCCGGGGGCUGCUGCCCUUGUUGACCCUGGGAGCCAGGGCAGGCUCUCCCCUGCAGGAAGAGGUCCCAUCACCCAGCCUGGAGAAUGGAUUAGGGAAGCAGCACAGCGUCAAGGGAGAGCUCUGCCUCACCUCCUUUGAGGAGUGCCAGGAGCAGAUGUCUUUUCCCCAGAGGAAGCGUGUACUAAUUCCCACCUCAGCGCUUCAUUUCCUUCCCAUUCCUUGGCGAAGUCAGCGCACCCUGCUCCUUUUACAGUUUGGGUCUCGUUGGGCCAGCUCCUUUAACAAGUGAUUGUGUACAUACACCACCCGUUGCUGCCUCUGCAAAAAUGAGUUUGUUCCUGGAAUCUGGAAAGAGGAAGACUGAUGAGAUUGGUGGAGAAUGUCAGACUGGUGAUGUGAACUGCCACAUGGGCAUGUGCUUGGCUUGGCCACCCUGACCCCUCCCCUCCUGCUUACCCCUCUGUUUAAGCAAGUCUCUUUUCCUGCCUUGGAUUUUCCAAGAAGCCCGAAGGUCCUACAGCCAUCACUUCUGUAGACUAAGUCAUUGAAUGUUUGGGUUAAAAUGAGGAAGUGGUGGCAAAUUAAAGGCCAUUACCACCCAUUAACAUUUUAACUCAAAUUAAUUGAGUAUAUAAGCUAUUCAGGCAACUGGUAAGGCCCUGGGCAGUUUGUAGUAAUGAGGGACAGAGGGCCAAGAGGCUUUUCAGAAGCUCAAAGGAGCCCAACAGGGUCACACAUGGACACCCCUUCCUUGUGUCUGACACUGGCUGAGGGCAUGUUUGUCCUUCUAGCUGCAACCUGGAGAAUGGGGAACCACCCAAAGCCUGAAUUCGUGGAAACUCUAAAACUGUAUCUACCAUUUACACAUAGGGCUAAACUCCCCCUCUCCACCCCAGCUAUGCAGAAUCUUCACCUGAGCGACUUCUUGGGAGUAGUAAGGUCUGUAUUGAUAAUAACUUGUCCAAGUGACUGGCUGGAAAUGGGGGCAAGUCGGACGGGGGAGGGAGCAAGGGGGAAUGGAGCUAACAUUUGGGAGUGCACACAAGUUCAAGGCGCUGGCCUGGGCUAUUUCUCUGAUUUAAUCCUGGCAAUCCUUUCAUAUAGAUAUCAUUAUCUCCCUUUUACAUUUGAGGAAACUGAGGCUCAAAGAAGCUGAUUUCCUACCCUGACCCAGCAACAUGUGGGACUGUGGGAUGGCCAAUAUCCUCUUCCGCACGUGGGGCAAUUCUAAAUAGAUUUGUAAACAGGCAUCUUCUUUAAUUCUGACUAUGUGCCCUUAGUUCUGGCAUGUGAGGAUUCUGGGAACAAAUCUAUCUUCACUCACUGCACACCCUUCAUCAUUUGUGAGACUAUAGUAAUAAAUCUCUGUUUUCAUCUUUCCACAUGGAAAAAACGAGUUAUUUCAAUCAAUUCAGACUUAAAAAAACCUUAAGAAUAAAUAAUAACAAUCGCAUUCAAAAUUCUGACCUAACACC